rnacentral:rRNA from 1 species
GAUGAACGCUGGCGGCGUGCCUAACACAUGCAAGUCGAGCGAGAAAUCUUGGAAUGAGACUUCGGUUAAGUGAAGAGAUGGAAAGCGGCGGACGGGUGAGUAACGCGUAGGCAACCUGCCUUAUGCAGAGGGAUAGCCAUUGGAAACGAUGAUUAAAACCUCAUAAAGCCAUUUUAUCACAUGGUGAGAUGGUCAAAGAUUUAUCGGCAUAAGAUGGGCCUGCGUCUGAUUAGCUAGUUGGUGGGGUAACGGCCUACCAAGGCGACGAUCAGUAGCCGACCUGAGAGGGUGAUCGGCCACAUUGGAACUGAGACACGGUCCAAACUCCUACGGGAGGCAGCAGUGGGGAAUAUUGCACAAUGGGCGAAAGCCUGAUGCAGCAACGCCGCGUGAAGGAAGAAGGUCUUCGGAUCGUAAACUUCUGUCCUUGGGGAAGAUAAUGACGGUACCCUUGGAGGAAGCCCCGGCUAACUACGUGCCAGCAGCCGCGGUAAUACGUAGGGGGCAAGCGUUAUCCGGAAUUAUUGGGCGUAAAGAGUGCGUAGGUGGUUACCUAAGCAGGGGGUGAAAGGCACUGGCUUAACCAAUGUCAGCCCCCUGAACUGGGUACCUUGAGUGCAGGAGAGGAAAGCGGAAUUCCUAGUGUAGCAGUGAAAUGCGUAGAUAUUAGGAGGAACACCAGUGGCGAAGGCGGCUUUCUGGACUGUUACUGA